UGGGGAAUUUUGGACAAUGGGCGAAAGCCUGAUCCAGCAAUGCCGCGUGUGUGAAGAAGGCCUUCGGGUUGUAAAGCACUUUUGUCCGGAAAGAAAUCCUUGGCUCUAAUACAGUCGGGGGAUGACGGUACCGGAAGAAUAAGCACCGGCUAACUACGUGCCAGCAGCCGCGGUAAUACGUAGGGUGCAAGCGUUAAUCGGAAUUACUGGGCGUAAAGCGUGCGCAGGCGGUUUGCUAAGACCGAUGUGAAAUCCCCGGGCUCAACCUGGGAACUGCAUUGGUGACUGGCAGGCUAGAGUAUGGCAGAGGGGGGUAGAAUUCCACGUGUAGCAGUGAAAUGCGUAGAGAUGUGGAGGAAUACCGAUGGCGAAGGCAGCCCCCUGGGCCAAUACUGACGCUCAUGCACGAAAGCGUGGGGAGCAAACAGGAUUAGAUACCCUGGUAGUCCACGCCCUAAACGAUGUCAACUAGUUGUUGGGGAUUCAUUUCCUUAGUAACGUAGCUAACGCGUGAAGUUGACCGGCCUGGGGAGUACGGUCGCAAGGUUAAAACUCAAAGGAAUUGACGGGGUCAUAGCUGUUUCCU
rnacentral:rRNA from 1 species